AUUGAACGCUGGCGGCAGGCCUAACACAUGCAAGUCGAACGGUAACAGGAAGAAGCUUGCUUCUUUGCUGACGAGUGGCGGACGGGUGAGUAAUGUCUGGGAAACUGCCUGAUGGAGGGGGAUAACUACUGGAAACGGUAGCUAAUACCGCAUAACGUCGCAAGACCAAAGAGGGGGACCUUCGGGCCUCUUGCCAUCGGAUGUGCCCAGAUGGGAUUAGCUUGUUGGUGGGGUAACGGCUCACCAAGGCGACGAUCCCUAGCUGGUCUGAGAGGAUGACCAGCCACACUGGAACUGAGACACGGCCCAGACUCCUACGGGAGGCAGCAGUGGGGAAUAUUGCACAAUGGGCGCAAGCCUGAUGCAGCCAUGCCGCGUGUAUGAAGAAGGCCUUCGGGUUGUAAAGUACUUUCAGCGGGGAGGAAGGGAGUAAAGUUAAUACCUUUGCUCAUUGACGUUACCCGCAGAAGAAGCACCGGCUAACUCCGUG
rnacentral:rRNA from 1 species